UAUGGUUAAGGGCAAACCCGCUCGAAAGACGGGGACGCAAAGCCACCGGCCUGUGAUGAAAUGAUUAUUUGGUAGCGGGGUUACCCAA
rnacentral:ncRNA from 1 species